rnacentral:lncRNA from 10 species
GCUAUCUAUUUAUCUGGUCUAUCUUUACAUCUUUCUUUUUUCUUCUUGUUUGGAAAGGUGUCAAAGGGCACAUCCUCCAAUCCCUGGCUUGAGACCAGUUUGCGUGACAGGCCCUGCUGACAGGUGGAGGGUUGAGGACAGUGCCUGGUGGCUUGGGCUCUGCUCACUGUUCUACUGGCAUCACGAAUGCAUGUGGCUCGACUCUGGGAAUCUUGGAGCAACGCAGACGGCAAGUUCACAAUAGGUGUUUGCCCUUCAAUAGGCCAGAACUAAAACUUUAUCCCCUUCACAGUGGGGCCUCCUAAUUAGAUAUAAAUAAAUCCAUCAAGCAAAAAUCAAAUCCUUCCCUUUCCAUUCAUUUUUUUUUCCUUUGGCAUUUCAACCCAUAAUCUAAUAUAUGGGGAAGAGAAGGCACUGUAGAGGUUGAAUGACCUGGGCUAGGGAGGUAGGUGAGAAAUGCCUCCUUUCUCAGACCAGCACCUGACUCGCAGUUUGGGGGCCUGGGUGGGGAAGGAGGAGGAAAGACAGGGAGCAUGGUGUGAACCAGGAGCCUGCCCAGUGCCCAGACCAAAAGGGAAGGGGCUGAACAUUGAGAGGACUUGAAAUUAACAGAGCUUUACCAGCCAGUCAAUAGGUCCUGGCUGCAGGAAGCUGAAGCUGCUAAUGGCUCUGUUUUUUUCUCCUUCUACAGCCACGGUGGUUCCCCCUGUGGAGUUCCCUUCAAUGCGAGACAGAGACCAUUUUACUGACUGCGAAAAUUCAAUUAGAGUCUUAUGUCAGGGUGGGGAGAACUUAUGCGAAGCCCAACAUUCUGGUGGCUCUCUUUUUGAUCUGCUUUACCGUGGUACCUUCACAGGAAGUGAGUUCCAUGAAUACGGAACAUAUGGGUGCAGCUGGAGGGGGUGUGGGCUGUUGGAGACAGAGGUUCCUCAGUUUUCAUAUACAUGAAAUGAUUGAUGAGUUUCUUGCUUCUGUUUAGAAAGCAAAAAAGGGGAGGCUGAGGUGGGCGGAUCACAAGGUCGGAUCAAAACCAUCCUGGCCAACAUGGUGAAACCCUGUCACUACUAAAAAUACAAAAAUUAGCCGGGCGUGGUGGCGCGCGCCUGUAGUCCCAGCUACUCGGGAGGUUGAGGCAGAAUCGCUUGAACCCGGGAGGCAGAGGUUGCAGUGAGUUGAGAUCAUGCCACUGCACUCCAGCCUGGUGACACAGCGAGACUCCGUCUUAACAACAACAACAACAACAAAAAAGCAAAAAAGAUGUCUUGUCUGUAGACAAGCAUAAUUUCUUUGGUUUCUGUGUUGUCCCUGUCACCCAUCAGAACCUCAGAAAUGCUAUCUGGGGUCAGCUGUGCAUUUUUCUUUGUUGGUGGCCCAUUGGACAGGCAGGUCACUUCUCGUCCUCCGAGGAGUAGAUGGAAAAAAGGUCAGUUUGAAGCUCAAGGACAGCUGAGGACCGAGGCAUGCCAUUUAAGGGGAGUUUGGUACUUGGACCCAAGUAUUCCCAGAGUGGACGCACUUGGGCUUGGAGACCCUAAACAAAGAAACCUUAGAAAUGCUCUACUUUUCCUUUGUUAGUAGCAAAAUAGCCAGCUCGCUGGGUUCUCGGCCACACAUGGGCACCCGGAAGCCAUCUACAGGCGCUCCCACGGCAGGAAUGGGAGGAGGGGGCUCCUCAGCUUUUCUUGCUCAGCCCCUCCUCCCAUGAGCUGCCCAGGCCUGUGUCCUGAUGGAAGGACUCCAAUCCCUCUCCUUCCUCCCUUUUGGUUCUCAUGCUAGCCCUCAGUGCCUCCCCGAUAGGCUGGGUCUCUGAGGCACUAGAGUGCUGCCACUGUCCUAAAACACCCCUGCAAGGGGUCACAUGUCCUCCUGGCCUUACCACCUCUUUCUGGGCUGACAAACCCAGGCCUAGCUACACUGGACUUGACCUGGUUCCUCCCCUAGACCUACUCUCACGCAGUUCAUCCCAGGGACCUCAGUUCCUGUCCACCUUGUCUCUCUCAUGUCCACCUGGGGGCCACCUGGAAAAUGCCUCCUUGUGCUUCAUGGCUCAGUUCAAAUCCUGCCUCCCCUGAGACACCUCUGGUAGACUUAGGUGUCUUUCCCCCUCAGCUUUAUCCCUGUGGUCUCUCUGGGAGAGGGAGGAUCUCCCUGCUCAUGCACUGGUCUUCCCAGUAGACUUGGGGGUGGGGGUGUCAGGGCCUGACUUAUGCCUUGCUGGAUCUCCAGCAGCUAUUUCAGUGUGUUUACUGAAUGAAAGGGAAGGAAUUCUGUGCUAGGAAUAGUUUGUGAUUAGCAAUUUGAAGUGGGUCACUAACCAACUGCUGUAUUUAGCACCUCUCUUUUUUUUUCUAGAAAAUAUACCAACUUGGACAGCCAUCCUCAGGGGCCUGCUGUUGAAAUAUUUCCUGAAUGUUCACAAAUUUCCUGGAUGUUCAAAACAUGUUGAAUUCUACUCUCACAGAACCUCCAGUAGCCCACGAAUUGGUCUGAAGGCCCUUGCUGGAUGAACCAGAAGUGGGUCCUCUCUACCUAGCUACAUCGAGGCUCCCCAGUCUUACUGAGAAUGAGGCCCAGAACACAAGAGUUUGUAUGGUUCUUGCUGACGUACAAUAGAUUUCAGGGGUUGGGGAACUGAGGACAUCAUCUCAAAAGUACCACAAUUGAUGAGUAGCCCUAUGAAAUGCUUUUGUGUUAAAGCCUGUUUAGGAAAUAGAAUGGGGACAUGAGCAGGUAUGAUAUACCUGUGUCCACCUGCUUACACCUGCUGGGAGGGGACAGCAGCACACACCUGGAAGCAUGGAGUGGCUUGCCGUCCAAGCUGACCAGAACGCAGGGCCUGUGCUGGAGUCCUGGGCCUGCUGCUGACCUACAGGGUCUUGGCCCAGCCACACUGGGCACCUCAGCUCCUCUGUCUGCCCCAUGUGAUGCCCCUACUUCAUUCAGUCCAUAAGCACUCACCAAGGCAGGUGCGGUGCGGGACACUGGACAGUGACAGAUGAAUAACAUAGGUCUUGGCCCCCCGAGCCCAUGAGCUACCAGAGAUAAUAAGCAUCCUCACUGAGGCCACUGCUGGGUUUAUGGAUGCAGAUGGCUGCCAGGGCCCUCCUGAGGUAGGAGGCACCCAGCUGCCCUGGUAAGAAAUACAGGACUGUCUUAUCAAAAUAACCCUCCUGUGUUCACUCUUUCAUCAAGGACUUGAGUCUGUGACCUCAAAGGCAUGAGGUGGCCUUGGGGCAUUCUGUGGGGCUCCAUGUUGGUCUCUGAGCUCUUACAAAGGCCAGCUUGACCCCCAACCCUAGGAGGCACUCUUGGCUGGGUUCUCCUUCCCACCUGGCUCCAGGCUGAGGCCGUCCAUUGCCAGUGUCCAGGGCUGCUGGCUGAGCAGGACACUGCUGCACUGGGCCUGGCACGCACCUCCUCUGUGCAGAGAUCGAGUUGCUCUGGAGAGGUGUGACAUAUGAUGGUGAAACUUGGCAAGAGUGGCUUCAGUGACAGAAAAAUACAUGCCAGGUCCCUAAGCCCAACUCUGCCGAAGGCCUUCUUCCAGCCAGAACCCUAGUGCCUAGUGGUGCAAAGACCUUCUCUCCACUCCACACCUUGCAGGAGCUGCAGGGCCAAGA